AAAAAAGUUCAGUUAUCAGGUGCCUCUUUAUGAAGAGGAGAAUAGGAAAUCGGGUUAAAUUCCCGAACGGUCCCGCCACUGUAACCGAGGAGUCUCUUGCAUGAUGUCACUGUUUAUUUACAAAUAAAUGGGAAGGCGCAAGUAAGACUAUGAUCCGGAAGUCAGGAGACCUGCCUGGUAUAAAAUAUUCUUA
rnacentral:ncRNA from 14 species